GAUGAAUGCUGGCGGCGUGCCUAACACAUGCAAGUCGAGCGGCAGCGAGGGGUGCUUGCACCCUGUCGGCGAGCGGCGAACGGCUGAGUAACGCGUAGGAAUUUGCCCCAAAGUGAGGAAUAACUGCCCGAAAGGGUAGCUAAUGCCGCAUAUGGUCUUCGUAUUAAAGGAUUUAUCCGCUUUGGGAGAAGCCUGCGUUGGAUUAGGUUGUUGGUAGGGUAAUGGCCUACCAAGCCGACGAUCCAUAGCUGGUCUGAGAGGAUGAUCAGCCAGACUGGAACUGAGACACGGUCCAGACUCCUACGGGAGGCAGCAGUGAGGAAUCUUCCACAAUGGGCGAAAGCCUGAUGGAGCAACGCCGCGUGAAGGAUGAAGGCCUUCGGGUUGUAAACUUCUUUUAUGAGUGAAGAAUAUGACGGUAACUCAUGAAUAAGCACCGGCUAACUACGUG
rnacentral:rRNA from 1 species